rnacentral:rRNA from 1 species
AGCCUGAACGCUGGCGGCGUGGCUAAGACAUGCAAGUCGUACGGGCCUAGCAAUAGGUCAGUGGCGAACGGGUGAGUAAUGUAUCGCUAACGUACCCCUCAAUCCGGGAUAGCUGGGGGAAACUCCAGGUAAUACCGGGUGACAUUCUCUUUUCGCAUGAGGAGAGACUCAAAGGGAAACCGUUGAGGGAGCGGGCGAUAUCGUAUCAGCUAGUUGGUGAGGUAACGGCUCACCAAGGCAAUGACGCGUAGCCGGACUGAGAGGUCGGUCGGCCACAUUGGGACUGAGACACUGCCCAGACUCCUACGGGGGGCUGCAGUAACGAAUCUUCCGACAAUGCACGCAAGUGUGACGGAGCGACGCCGCGUGUGGGGACGAAGUCCUUCGGGAUGUAAACCACUGUCAGGGGUUACCAAGUUCUGAGGAGCCCCAGAGGAAGGCACGGCUAACUCUGUGCCAGCAGCCGCGUAA